UUUUUGUGGAGACAGGAUCUCGCUGUGUUGCCCGGGCUGGUCUCAAACUUCUGGACACAAACAAUCCUCCACAUUGGCCUCCCAAAAUGCUGGAAUUACAGGUGUGAGCCACUGGACCAGCAGGACUCUAAAUUUUGGUGCUCAAAAAACAUUUGUUGAGUAAGUGAACCUGAGACUAUCAACAAGCAUUAUUUUAAAAUCACUAGCAAAGGAGAUUGUAAAAUCAGGAAGUAUAUCUAAGUCACCUCCAGUAGCCGUAACUCUACCUUGUCCAGUAAAAGUGCUGCUUGUUGCUGACGUUUCUGCCCAAACAUCAUGAAAUGUGGAGAAGAAAGAACACUCAGAUGUGCCCUGGAGACUUUCCUUUUAUUUUUAAACAGUUUUUUUUUCCAUUGGGUUUGACCAACUCUAUAUUCGACUUGAACAAAUCCGAAGGAAAGCUUCCAAUUAUGGGGAACAAGUCCUCUGAAGUGGCUAAAUUCCCACACACACAAAAGAAAAGAUGAGUCUAUGCCCAGGACCACCAGAUAAUUGAGUCCUGUACAAAAGCUUCUGACUAAACAAUGUGCUCUGGCUCAGGACUAUACAGAGAAAAGACACAGUUUUUAAAUUGAUCGUUCAAAAGGAAACAUAUUUAUGAUAUUUGCUCCAUGAUAUGUAUCUCUCAUCUGUUAGCUCAGGCAGAAUUAAAAUGCUAGACAAUAAUGUUCCAUGCCACUAUGCUUACUCGGGUCUCUCACAUUGGUGUACUUCUGGCACAAAGUCACAUGACAUUUGAGUAAUAGCUGUCUCCCAUGUGGACUUUACACCACAUGAUGUCAGGGGCCAUUCAUUCUAUUCCAAUUACAUAAAUCAUAGAUUAGGAUAGGUCUUGGCAAGGACUGGGUACUAUAUGAAUAUUUUUGAGUAAAUGUAUGAGCACAAAAUAUUUUAUGUGGUUAUGUAUCUAGUAAAACAUGCAAGGCUAACAUAUCCUCUUUCAUUAGACUUCAAGAAAACUCCAGCGAAUAUUUAUCAGAAAAAGAAAACCAGGAAAAAUGAAAGAAGUAAUAAAAUUAAAAUCUCGUACAGACCAAAAAUAAAUGAUACAGAGCAUUUAGGUAGUCAGAAGCUGUGCUAACUGGUUUCCAAACAAGGUAAAGAACAGCCUGCUAGGAACACACUGUAUCUCAAAGGGCAAAACAAUAACGUCAAACCUUUCUCCUCUGCAUUGCAAAUACCAUUUGCAUUUCAAUGACACUACACUCUAAAGAAUAUGCUCUACUAAGUUUGUUAGAUAAGCCGCAUGUGCUGUGUUUCAAAUCACAUAGUAAUAAAAGUGUUCCAGUUCUUUGAUAGAUUUACGUAAUUCCCUAACUGGACUACCAUUGAUUCCCCUUAAGAAAGGUAUAUAGACUCUCUAUGAAAAAUAGAGUUUCUUAAAUCCAGCUUCCUAUGUGGAAAGUAUUAUUACUUUAUAGGAAAAUAAUUUCUAGCUGUUUUCCUGUUGUUCCCAAGAGUCUUUCCAAUUUCUUUAUAUAUCUGUCUUAGAAUGUUCAAUUUUCUCAAGCCCCUUAAAAAAUCAUUCUUGCUUUUCUACUCAUUUCCACUUGUUAAACUUGACCCAGUUUUCUCUUGGUUUCAUAUUUUACCAUUCAACUUUUAUUCCACUCUCUACCCUCUCCAACUCCCCUAAAUAAAUUGUUUUUUCAGGUCAUAAUACCCCUAUUUGUUUUUCCUACACAACGGGUAAGCUCAGAUGGAACAUUAUCGAAUGGUGAAAAGCAUAAGUUUGUCUUAGGACACAAAGUUUCUAACAAAGAUUGAUUCUUCUCAUAUGAAAUAACUGCUUCUUUAUACUUUUCAUGGCAUUUUAGAAUACAGGGUAGGAUUGCAGUCCCUGAAAUGUACCAAUUCUGAAUUAAACUAAUUAAUUAAUUAAUUUUCUUAGCACCCCACAGAGAUUGUGCCAUCACUUUUUUGUAUCAUGCUGCCCCUGAUUUUCCUCCUAGUGGGCCCGAAACAUCCAUCUUUCCACGAGUGUGGUCAGGAGAUUAGGACUGUUAUAAAUGAAGUGCAAAGAGAUUUACUAUUCCAAGCAGAAUUUUGCAGUCAGUAAGAUGUUAAAGAUUAUCUAAAGAAUAUCAAGUCAAAUCCAGAAGUCUCAGCUGAAGGUGUUUCUUCUUUAACAUACAGAUUUUAUACUGCCCAUCAAUGAGGGUAGGCCUUGGGACAGAUUUAUUCUAAGAAAUGAGGAUAGAGUAGAGAAAGAAAAAGUCUGAAGCUCUUCUUAUGGGGCUGCAGAGCUGGGAGACUUUCAGAAAUAUGAGAAAGGAAAUAAGAGAGGCAGAUGACACAUGAGUUUUCAUGUUUUCUCUCCAAACAGAUAGGCAGUCUGGAAAAGCUAAGGAUGUGGGCUUUUGACUAGAAUAAUGUUUGGGACUCUGAAAGGGGUUUGCCUUGGAUGACUGCCCUGCACAGCUUCAAGAUGGCCACAUCGGGGGAAACACAGUGGCACAGUGUGGUGACAGAGGGCUGAUGUUCAGUAUCUGAGUCAUUCUUCAUGUGUGGCAUGAAUAGAGCUAUUUGUUCUAAGGAGGGACUUUGGAGGUGGCUAAAUGGAGUUGGAUAGUCUGCCAUGUGGCCAGUUUUGUUGGUGAUUCUGCAGAUGAACUACCUGCACCAGGAGUCUGAGGGAGGAUGUUACAGGAAUGCAGAGAGGUCUACAGUACAAGUAGGAGUUAAAAUGAGGUCAACUCUCAGCCUGGCAUGGUGACUUGGGCCUGUAAUCCCAGAAUUUUGGGAGUCUGAGGUGGGAGGAUUGCUUGAGCUCAGGAGUUUGAGACCAGCCUGGGCAACAUAGCCAAACCAUCUCUACAAAAAAUAAAAAAAUUAUGUGAGUGUGGUGGUGAGCACCUGUAGAUCCAGCUACUUGGGAGGCUGAAGUGGGAGGAGUGCUUGAGCCUGGGAGGCCAAGGCUGCAGUGAGCCAUGAUUGCAUCACUGCAGUCCAGCCUGAGUGACAGAGCAAAACCCUGUCUCAAAAAAAAAAAAAAAAAAUGAGGUCAACUCAGCCACUGAUUACUGCUAGAUGCUGACCAAGUUAGAGAGGACAACCCAGUGGAUUAAACCUUUCUCCAAAUUAAGCCACAUUGCUAGCAUGUCAGUGAUGAUCAAGAGGUCAAAGUAGUGAGUGAGGGCUAAAGAAGUGAGAGCACACUUAAUAUCAGAAAUAUUUCAGUCCAUGGGCAAAAGGAUAUUCUUACCAUGGGUAAGAGGAGGAAGUUUGCAGAAAUCUGAAACACUGAAACAAUUCUCUUAAAGACACUGGGAAAGGCUUCAGUGUCCAAACUGUUUUAAACCAAAUGAGUCUGUUUUUAAUUUUUUCUCCAACUGGAGAAAAUUGAAAAUUGUUUUGGUUGGGGCCAAGGGUGAAGGAGUCUUGAAGAACAUUGGAUCAGAUAUACCAAAUGACCAAUUUGAUAGAUUGAUUGAUUGACUAAUUUUUUUUUAAACUUUUAAGUUACUAUGGGAGUAAAUUCAUUACUUUGCUACAAAUGUUGUGGGAAAGUGGACAAGUCAAUGCACUACUGUGAAUACUUAUUCACUAAUUCACGUUUCCAUUUGGAAAAAUAAAGGAGUUGGGCUGCAUAAUUCUUAAGGUCUUCUUUAGUUGAGAGAACCUAUAUGUAUUUAUAGUCUGUCCUUCUUAUGUAGAGAACACGAAUGUCUAAUUAUUUACAUUUAUUUUUAUGAUAGAAUUAAAACGAUGUAUUAAGCUGGCCUUUUUUCAGACAUACUUGCAACCAGAGUCAUCAAUUUUGAAGACAGCAACCAAGCCAAGCAAUGUGAGGUUACAGCUAUGAAAUAGAACAGAGAUGUCUAGACUAUAGACACAGCCUGCCGUUUUGUGCUGAUUGGUAAAGUGUUCCAGCCAACUGGAAGCAAAUAUUUCUCAGAAGCAGUUUCCUGCUCUCAUCCUCUCCUCGCCAUGCCCACUGUGCCCAACAUGGCUCCAGCUGGGUCACAGAAGACUUUGUCCUGGAAUACAGCAUUUCCCUAUUUAAAUCUCUAACUUUGUAUGUACUCUUUUCAAUAAAAGCAUAUUUUUCAUUACCAUUCUGACCAUACUCCCUUCUCUGCUGGCUCCACAGCUAAGGUUUCUGCACCUGUUCCAUAACUUCUGGGAUCUGUCUCUGUUGCUGCACGUAUGCAUUCCAUAAGCAUUAAUAGAUCCAUUCACUCUUCUGAAAUCUGGGCAGCUUAAAUCAUAUUACAUCUAACGUAUUUUUACUAGAGUCAGUUCUACCCCCCGACUCUUGAGUGCACACACAGGCACUUCUCUGUAAGUUCCUUGAGGUCAGAAAUAGUCCCCUAGUCAGCCUUCUGCCUUCUGUAGUUCCUGGUCCAUCAAGGUGCAGAGUACAUAUUCCACAGAUAAAUAGAUAACUCUCAUUCAAUGCUCUGAUCUUUCCUUUAUCUUGUUUCCCUGGAUAUUCCUCUUUCACGGCUCUUUUCUAUUUAAUUU
rnacentral:lncRNA from 10 species